AUUUCCCUUUAAAACCUCUUAAAAUUGAUUUGUAAAGAUUGAUUAUGAAAAAGAAAAUGUGAGUUUUAAAAAAAUAUGCACUUUUAGUUGGUUCGUAAUGUAGCCAAUAGGGUUGAGUCUUGAAUGUGAGUAGAACCAAUCAGAAUGUAGAGUGUUACACGGUGGAGGAGCUCACUUCCGGGUUCGCGUAAAAUGUGCGUUCAGUUUGAGAAGCAGCUCUCUCCCGUGUGCACGCUGCAUGUGAAUGCUGUGUGGGAAAAUACUAGAGAAAAGAGAAGAAAUAUGGAGAAAUACUGUGCUUAAAACCGUUUUGAGUGUGGAUUGAAGAUAAAAGAAACUGAGUUAAAGGAGUCGAGUUACAUCCGGGUCUUUCUGGAGUGUUCUGUGAUUUUGUCGAUCUCCUUGGCCAGGUUUUUUUUGUUUUUGGUUUUUGUUUGUUCUUAUAUCUUUCCAUGCGCUGAUGCUGGAGCUGUUGAUGUUUUCUGGAUUUGUCCCAGCCUUCUGUGAGUUUUGAGGGUUUGGACUGGCGAGCCGUCCCCGAGUCUUACUUCGAUUUUCUGUGAUGCAUAGGAAAACUGUUUGCACAUCUGAACACCACAUAUAUGGUAGGACACUGAAACACUUUUUCUUGUUUCACUUGGAUGGAUUCUGUCUUCCCGUAGACAGAUAACACACACAAUUCAUCUUUAUGGACUACCUUAAGGACUGAGAAACUGAAAAAAGGGUUUACACUGAACUAAUUACAUUUCAUUGAACUAUUGUACAUUGUUUUAAAUUACAGUGUUUUUG